AGGGUUUGAUCAUGGCUCAGGAUGAACGCUGGCGGUAUGCUUAACACAUGCAAGUCGUACGAAGAUAAAAUUGUGCUUGCACGAUUUUAUACUUAGUGGCGGACGGGUGAGUAACACGUAAGAAUCUACCUUUUGGCGAGGGACAACCACUGGAAACGGUGGCUAAUACCUCAUAUAACUGAGAAGUGAAAGAUGAAAAUCACCAAGAGAUGAGCUUGCGUCUGAUUAGCUAGUUGGUAAGGUAAAGGCUUACCAAGGCGACGAUCAGUAGCUGGUCUGAGAGGAUGAUCAGCCACACUGGGACUGAGACACGGCCCAGACUCCUACGGGAGGCAGCAGUGAGGAAUUUUCCGCAAUGGGCGAAAGCCUGACGGAGCAAUACCGCGUGAAGGAUUAAGGCCUAUGGGUUGUAAACUUCUUUUCUCAGAGAAGAAUUUUGACGGUAUCUGAGGAAUAAGCAUCGGCUAACUCUGUGCCAGCAGCCGCGGUAAGACAGAGGAUGCAAGCGUUAUCCGGAUUAAUUGGGCGUAAAGCGUCUGUAGGUGGUUUAUCAAGUUUUUUGUCAAAGAUCGGGGCUUAACUCCGGGCAGGCAGAGAAAACUAGUAGACUUGAGUUCGGUAGGGGCAGAGGGAAUUCCCGGUGGAGCGGUGAAAUGCGUAGAGAUCGGGAGGAACACCAAAGGCGAAUGCACUCUGCUGGGCCGCAACUGACACUGAGAGACGAAAGCGAGGGU
rnacentral:rRNA from 1 species